CAGGCCUCACCUCCUGGGUUGAGUGUAUUUCUAAGUGGUUUCUUUUUUUCUAACUGCUGUCAAUGGGGUUGUUCUCUUGGUCUUCUUUGCAGAAAGUUCUUAUAAGUGUAGAGAAAUGAUCCUGGUUUGUGCAAGUUAACUUUGUAUCCUGCAACUCUAUUGAAUUUUAAAAAUCAAUUGUAACUGUUUGGGGGACCCUUUGGGGCUUUGUGUAUGUGAGGUCCUGUUGCCAGCCAGCAGCAGAAGUUUCAUGUCUUCUUUUUCAUUUGUAUCCUUUCCUUUCUUUCUUUUGCUUUCUAUCAAGGACCCCCUAACACUAACCCUAACCCUAACCCUAACCCUAACCCUUACCCUUACCCUAACCCAGCACUGUGUUAACACACCAUCAUUUGCACCAGCGCAAAUGGAACUGGGGGUCCUUGAGUUUUGUGAGAUAAGCCAGGCACAGAAAGACUGUGCAGUCACACUCACGUGAAACUGAGAAAUCUGAUCCUAUGGAAGUGGAAAGUAGGAGGGUGGGUAUCACAGGCUCCAGAGGGGUGGAGAGAGGUUCAUCAGUGAAAGCUGAGUCAGAUUAGAGCAAGACGCUCUUCCUGUUGCCCCCAGGAGACUCCAGAUACAAUGAGUGACAUUUAGUGGGAUGUGACUGUUGAGCCAUACCAGUGUCAAAUCCUUUGAGGUGAAGCAGACAUUAUGGUGGAAGAAUGUGCUGAAGGAAGGUGGCUCAAGACAUCACAUCAAGAAGCAGAGAGUGAGUUCUGCUCAUUAGGGACCCUCGGGGACGUGUCUGUGGGCAGGGAGGGGAUGGCUGGAGGAGGCGGGUCAUGGGGGGUGGCAUCUAUCUGAAAGUGGACCCUCUCGCUGCUUCCUGGGUGCCACACUCCCUGCUCUUCCCCAGCUCACUCGCCCGCCAUGAUGUUCUGCCCCACCUUGAGCCCCAAGGAAUGGAGCCAGCCUUCUAUGGACUGUGAAAUCUGAAACAGUUAGUCCCCAAAUAAACCUUUUCUCCUCUAA